CCCAUCAGAGAUGAGGCAACACCUGUGAAGUUGGCGGGCAAUGUCGACACAGUAGAGCUGUUUAAAAGGUAAUUGUGUUUCUUCAGGCACCCAUAUGCAGACUGAGUUGAUGAGCGUGAUCUUUUAUUCGUUAUAAAGCUUUUUAUUCUCGAGCCCGACUGUGAUACGGAGACUAAGCCAGCAUGAAGUCCAGGAUAGUGUGUUUUCUGUUGAUUCUUCUUUGCAUUAGUGUCCAUGCAACUAGGUGCCAUGGUAAGCGCAGUUCUAGCAGUGAGUCGGGCAGUGGAGAGGUGAACACAGUAGACCUGCCUUCACUUAUCUGCACUCUGUUUCCGACUCUGUGUUCAACAAAGACUACAACAACAACAACAACAACAACAACAACAACAACAACAACAACAACCGCCACAACAACAGCAACAACAAAGGCAGUCACGACUUCAGUCACCUCCCGAGGAGACAAUCGAGGAGACAGCCUCUAUAAUGAAUCCAACACGAGGAAUAUUUAGCAAGAUGGGGAGAGUUUGUUUACUUUGUUUUGCAAAAUGAUCAGUUUAAUGGUGUUUUAUUUUGGUAAGGCCAUUUAAAAAAAAAAAAAAAAAAAACAGAAUUAAAUGGUUGACAUAAAAACGAAUGUAUUAGUUUGAACUAGUUAAAAUUUAUUUGUUGUGCCUCCUUUCCUUUUCUAUUACACUUUGUUGAUUGCACUUAAUUUAUCCAGCACAGUUUUUGAUUGUCUUUCCACGUAAAGUCUUGAUAAUGUUUGUCCAUACGGUGAAAAACACCAAUAUAAGCAAAGAGUAAUGGACAACGUAUGUUGGAGACGGGUCCCCACCGAUGAGAAGACUCUGACAACACACCAGUGUAACAUCCACUCAGUAAACUCACACAGACAAGCCUGAAUGCUGACUGCUUAAGAAAAGGGAUGAGUGUAAGCUGCUAGAAGCCAGACUCUGCCAACUCUGUCGCUCCUGAAUCACCUGACCAACACUUUGAUUCAUUCUUUUGCACUGCUGAUUCCUAAGACUUUGACUGAAAUACAUUGUGUUUUGUUCUAAUCAAUUACUUUGUGUUUGAUGUAAUUUGAUGUGCCUAAACACUGUAUUAUCAAAAAUCCUGAUUUUGAAUGUACUUUUUCUCUAUUUUUUUUUUUAACUCAUAGGUUUUUUUUUUCUUAAUUAUGACUGUGCACUGACUGAUCUUAUGUGUGCUGCAGGUGAACUGUUAUGGUUCUAAUAAAAUCAAAUAAAAUGAACAAGA